rnacentral:rRNA from 1 species
GAUGAACGCUGGCGGCGUGCCUAAUACAUGCAAGUCGAGCGAACGGACGAGAAGCUUGCUUCUCUGAUGUUAGCGGCGGACGGGUGAGUAACACGUGUAUAACCUACCUAUAAGACUGGGAUAACUUCGGGAAACCGGAGCUAAUACCGGAUGAUAUUUUGAACCGCAUGGUUCAAAAGUGAAAGACGGUCUUGCUGUCACUUCUAGAUGGAUCCGCGCUGCAUUAGCUAGUUGUUAAGGUAACGGCUUACCAAGGCAACGAUGCAUAGCCGACCUGAGAGGGUGAUAGGCCACACUGGAACUGAGACACGGUCCAGACUCCUACGGGAGGCAGCAGUAGGGAAUCUUCCGCAAUGGGCGAAAGCCUGACGGAGCAACGCCGCGUGAGUGAUGAAGGUCUUCGGAUCGUAAAACUCUGUUAUUAGGGAAGAACAGAUGUGUAAGUAACUGUGCACAGAUUGACGGUACCUAAUCAGAAAGCCACGGCUAACUACGUG